rnacentral:rRNA from 1 species
GAGUAAUGCCUAGGAAUCUGCCUAGUAGUGGGGGAUAACGUCCGGAAACGGGCGCUAAUACCGCAUACGUCCUACGGGAGAAAGUGGGGGAUCUUCGGACCUCACGCUAUUAGAUGAGCCUAGGUCGGAUUAGCUAGUUGGUGAGGUAAUGGCUCACCAAGGCGACGAUCCGUAACUGGUCUGAGAGGAUGAUCAGUCACACUGGAACUGAGACACGGUCCAGACUCCUACGGGAGGCAGCAGUGGGGAAUAUUGGACAAUGGGCGAAAGCCUGAUCCAGCCAUGCCGCGUGUGUGAAGAAGGUCUUCGGAUUGUAAAGCACUUUAAGUUGGGAGGAAGGGCAGUUACCUAAUACGUGAUUGUUUUGACGUUACCGACAGAAUAAGCACCGGCUAAACUCUGUGCCAGCAGCCGCGGUAAUACAGAGGGUGCAAGCGUUAAUCGGAAUUACUGGGCGUAAAGCGCGCGUAAGGUGGGUUUGUUAAGUUGGAUGUGAAAGCCCCGGGGCUC